CAGGAGGAAACGAGAGAGAGAGAGAGAGAGACAAGAUGGCGAGGGGCCACAUAGAACGAGGACGUGCUGCACUGGUGGCGUGGCGUUGAGGGAAGCGCCUCUUUGUAAUCCUGCCCAGCACUUUAUUGAACACAUGAAGGUGCUCCAGAGUUUCAAGAAGGGAGUGGCACACACACUUUGCUGCACUCCAAGCUUGUGGAGGUCCAGCAGCACACCGCACACUGCUUUCAUAAACGUGUGUGCCGAGUGCAAGACAGGGAGUGGCAAGGAUGGAGGAUGCUUCAACAUUCACAGCAUCAUUAGUUCAUGCUUA